GAUGAACGCUGGCGGCGCGCCUAACACAUGCAAGUCGAACGGUUAAAGCAUCUUCGGAUGUGUAUAAAGUGGCGAACGGCUGAGUAACACGUGGGCAACCUGCCCUUUGCACUGGGAUAGCCUCGGGAAACCGAGGUUAAUACCGGAUACUCCAUAUUUGUCGCAUGGCGAAUAUGGGAAAGCUCCGGCGGCAAAGGAUGGGCCCGCGGCCUGUUAGCUAGUUGGUGGGGUAGUGGCCUACCAAGGCAAUGAUGGGUAGCCGGGUUGAGAGACCGACCGGCCAGAUUGGGACUGAGACACGGCCCAGACUCCUACGGGAGGCAGCAGUGGGGAAUCUUGCACAAUGGGCGAAAGCCUGAUGCAGCGACGCCGCGUGCGGGAUGAAGGCCUUCGGGUUGUAAACCGCUUUCAGCAGGGACGAGGCCGCAAGGUGACGGUACCUGCAGAAGAAGCCCCGGCUAACUACGUGCCAGCAGCCGCGGUAAUACGUAGGGGGCAAGCGUUAUCCGGAUUCAUUGGGCGUAAAGCGCGCGUAGGCGGUCUGUUAGGUCAGGAGUUAAAUCUGGGGGCUCAACCCCUAUCCGCUCCUGAUACCGGCAGGCUUGAGUCUGGUAGGGGAAGAUGGAAUUCCAAGUGUAGCGGUGAAAUGCGCAGAUAUUUGGAAGAACACCGGUGGCGAAGGCGGUCUUCUGGGCCAUGACUGACGCUGAGGCGCGAAAGCUAGGGGAGCGAACAGG
rnacentral:rRNA from 1 species